UACGAAGGGUGCAAGCGUUAAUCGGAAUUACUGGGCGUAAAGCGUGCGUAGGCGGCCUGUUAAGUCUGCUGUGAAAGCCUCGGGCUCAACCUGGGAACUGCAGUGGAUACUGAUGGGCUAGAGUGUGAUAGAGGAUGGUGGAAUUCCCGGUGUAGCGGUGAAAUGCGUAGAGAUCGGGAGGAACAUCAGUGGCGAAGGCGGCCAUCUGGAUCAACACUGACGCUGAGGCGCGAAAGCGUGGGGAGCAAACAGG
rnacentral:rRNA from 1 species